rnacentral:tRNA from 1 species
GCGGAAUAGUUAUUCCAUGCAUUCGUAAUGCGUAGGUCGGGGGUUCGAAUCCCUUCAUCAGCACCA